rnacentral:lncRNA from 1 species
AAAGAAAAUGAUGCAGACAAAUAUAGUUGGCUCUAGUUGCUAUAACUCCAGUGCUUAAUCCUAAAUACAGUAGUGUUGUUUGGAUGAAAUGUUUUAUAAAGUUAAAUAAAGGUGAAAUAAAAAACUAAACAUGGAUAUGAUUAAUGUAAUUGAAUUAGUUGUACCACAUCCAACAAAUCUGACGGAAGAUAUUUCAUACAGAAAACAACAUUUAUUCAGACAUGCUUUAUAAAGCUACAUGUUAAACCGUGUCAAAAAUGUCUACGGGCGUAUAAACCUUAUCAGUCCAAUUAUUAGUAAGACCAUUUGUACAAUGAAAUAUAUUACAUAACAAUUUUACAAACCUCAACAUACAUUUGCAACUCAGCUACAGCUAUAAGCCAGUUUGAGGGGAUAAAUCUAUUGUUUUUCUACAAUGACGGACCAACCAACCACAAGGAGUGUGUGACAAGAUCAAUAACUUAAAUAUUAAGUAGUUCGUAAGAAAAUGUGUUAUGUGCAAUUUGAUAUUCAAAAUAACAAUAGAUGAAUUGACAUAGUAUCUACUGUUAGACCUAAUAGUACAACUUUAAACUUUAAAAAUAUAAAACAAAUCAUGUUUACAUAUUUUACUUCCUAAAGUCUUGGACAAGGCAUUAUCAUCCUUUUGUAAAGGACAAAUGUUAGGUAGGAACCACAUUUGAGUUCCCAUCAAAAUGAAUCAUAUCCUUCUGUUUCAAUUGGUCAAUACCCAAUACCCUCAAACCAAUGAAGCAGACCAAGGUUAAACCUAAUGCUAAGAUAAAAUAAGAAAAUACUUGACAAAGCAUUAAGAUUUCAUAGCCUUAAAAGCCCCUUUAAAACAAAAUGGAUGCCACUAACUGUCUAAUACCACGGUCCUUCAAUACCACUUAGCUUCUAAGUCUUAGUCUGUUUUAGCACAUAGCAACACCUUGGAGUGCAUUUCAGUGUGAUACAAAUUAUCUGGUCUCUGACUAAAGAGAGAUCUAAAGAAGAGAGGAGAUCAGUCAGGAAGUGGCUAGUUCCUGUGUGCCCUAUUUAUAAGCCAAGUGAACGGGCCUGCUUUCAAGAGCACAGGGUAGAUACAACACAACAUUACUGGGGCUAGGUGAGAGUAGAUACAACACAACAUUACUGGGGCUAGGUGAGAGUAGAUACAACACAACAUUACUGGGGCAAGGUGAGAGUAGAUACAACACAACAUUACUGGGGCUAGGUGAGAGUAGAUACAACACAACAUUACUGGGGCUAGGUGAGAGUAGAUACAACACAACAUUACUGGGGCUAGGUGAGAGUAGAUACAACACAACAUUACUGGGGCUAGGUGAGAGUAGAUACAACACAACAUUACUGGGGCAAGGUGAGAGUAGAUACAACACAACAUUACUGGGGCUAGGUGAGAGUAGAUACAACACAACAUUACUGGGGCUAGGUGAGAGUAGAUACAACACAACAUUACUGGGGCAAGGUGAGAGUAGAUACAACACAACAUUACUGGGGCUAGGUGAGAGUAGAUACAACACAACAUUACUGGGGCUAGGUGAGAGUAGAUACAACACAACAUUACUGGGGCUAGGUGAGAGUAGAUACAACACAACAUUACUGGAGCAAGGUGAGAGUAGAUACAACACAACAUUACUGGGGCUAGGUGAGAGUAGAUACAACACAACAUUACUGGGGCUAGGUGAGAGUAGAUACAACACAACAUUACUGGGGCUAGGUGAGAGUAGAUACAACACAACAUUACUGGGGCUAGGUGAGAGUAGAUACAACACAACAUUACUGGGGCAAGGUGAGAGUAGAUACAACACAACAUUACUGGGGCAAGGUGAGAGUAGAUACAACACAACAUUACUGGGGCUAGGUGAGAGUAGAUACAACACAACAUUACUGGGGCUAGGUGAGAGUAGAUACAACACAACAUUACUGGGGCUAGGUGAGAGUAGAUACAACACAACAUUACUGGGGCAAGGUGAGAGUAGAUACAACACAACAUUACUGGGGCUAGGUGAGAGUAGAUACAACACAACAUUACUGGGGCUAGGUGAGAGUAGAUACAACACAACAUUACUGGGGCAAGGUGAGAGUAGAUACAACACAACAUUACUGGGGCUAGGUGAGAGUAGAUACAACACAACAUUACUGGGGCUAGGUGAGAGUAGAUACAACACAACAUUACUGGGGCUAGGUGAGAGUAGAUACAACACAACAUUACUGGAGCAAGGUGAGAGUAGAUACAACACAACAUUACUGGGGCUAGGUGAGAGUAGAUACAACACAACAUUACUGGGGCUAGGUGAGAGUAGAUACAACACAACAUUACUGGGGCUAGGUGAGAGUAGAUACAACACAACAUUACUGGGGCUAGGUGAGAGUAGAUACAACACAACAUUACUGGGGCAAGGUGAGAGUAGAUACAACACAACAUUACUGGGGCAAGGUGAGAGUAGAUACAACACAACAUUACUGGGGCUAGGUGAGAGUAGGCAUCAUAGGUUCUGUACUCACUUUUACAGUAGCUCAGUAAUCAUACCGCCUACACUCUUAGAAAAAAGGGUUCCAAAAGGGUUCUUCGGCUGUCCCAUAGGAUAACUCUUUCUUGUUCCAGGUAGAACUCUUUGGGUUCUUCUGGGGAAAGGGUUCUACAUGGAACCCAGUAGGGUUCUACCUGGAAUCAAAAGGGUUCUUUCUGGAACCAAAAAGGGUUAUUCAAAGUGUUCUAUUGGGACAGCCGAAGAACCCUUUUACGUUCUAGAUUUUUUUCUAAGAGUGUAGUUCCUGUUUUUGCAAUGUGCAGUCUGAAACCUUUUGUGAAAUGUUAUAUAAACCUAGCCUGCAUAGGUAUUUGCCAAAACAGAGUUAAGGGCACAUUUGCUAUGCAUUUGGAUCUGGUGAAAAGUUUGCACCUGUUUUUAUUGGAUGAAACACCAAAGCUAAAACAGCAAACUGUCUUCAUUUAUACUUGAUAAAUGGUUCACUUUCAGAACCUUUAUUCUUACCUUUUCAUUUAACCUUUUAUGUCCAAUUCCCUAUGGUAAACUUACUGUGCAAUCUUGAUACCUGAUGCAAAGUGCAAAUGUUGAAUAAAUGGGGUCCUUAGCGGUCAGAAGAAGGGAGGCUUGUAAAAUAGGUGUGGUGUCAAAUUUGAUGUACAUCCUGCCAUUGAGAUUUGGACUGGCAGAGCUUGUCUCAGACAUUUUAUAAAAGCCCUGAAUAUUCUUUUAACACUUGGAAAGUAGUUAUUCAAGACAAAUAACUUCUCAAGAAAAUUAUAUUUUCAUGAACUACAUAAACACAACCCACCUCAUACACGAUUACUUCAACUACAUAAACACAACCCACCUCAUACACGAUUACUUCAACUACAUAAACACAACCCACCUCAUACACGAUUACUUCAACUACAUAACACAACCCAUCUCAUACACGAUUACUUCAACUACAUAAACACAACCCACCUCAUACACGAUUACUUCAACUACAUAAACACAACCCACCUCAUACACGAUUACUUCAACUACAUAACACAACCCACCUCAUACACGAUUACUUCAACUACAUAAACACAACCCACCUCAUACACGAUUACUUCAACUACAUAACACAACCCACCUCAUACACGAUUACUUCAACUACAUAAACACAACCCACCUCAUACACGAUUACUUCAACUACAUAACACAACCCACCUCAUACACGAUUACUUCAACUACAUAACCCAACCCACCUCAUACACGAUUACUUCAACUACAUAAACACAACCCACCUCAUACACGAUUACUUCAACUACAUAACACAACCCACCUCAUACACGAUUACUUCAACUACAUAAACACAACCCACCUCAUACACGAUUACUUCAACUACAUAAACACAACCCACCUCAUACACGAUUACUUCAACUACAUAAACACAACCCACCUCAUACACGAUUACUUCAACUACAUAAACACAACCCACCUCAUACACGAUUACUUCAACUACAUAACACAACCCACCUCAUACACGAUUACUUCAACUGCAUAAACACAACCCACCUCAUACACGAUUACUUCAACUACAUAAACACAACCCACCUCAUACACGAUUACUUCAACUACAUAAACACAACCCACCUCAUACACGAUUACUUCAACUACAUAACCCAACCCACCUCAUACACGAUUACUUCAACUACAUAACACAACCCACCUCAUACACGAUUACUUCAAAUGUCAUCAUGGUUUGAUUGGCAAGGAGGACUACAGAGGAAACCAAUCUGUAUCCAUUCAAAAUGUGGAUUACAAAAAGUUGCAGGCACUUCCGACAUCCCCUAAGACUUACUUACUUUUGUAACAUCCUUAAACGUAUCAUUAAAAAGUUUGAUCGGCGGUUGUAAGUAUUCAAGUAAAUAUCCUUGGGAAAGUGAUGAUGAUCAAUGUGGAAUGUAAAAAAAACAAAUUUAAGUACAAAAAGUACAAUCAACCUUCAUUUGCAUGAGAAAAGUGAAAGUGGAAAAAAUUGCACUUAGCUAAAUCUCAGCAGAACACUUGCAUAAAUAUGCUGCAUAAUCAGCCAGAAUAAGAAAACACCUGUCGUCCUUCCAAGCUACUACUUUCCAUCACCAUUAACCAAUACAUUUUCCCUACUUCUCCUUCAUAUUUAACAAUCACCAGCUGUUUCUCUUGGCAGUAUUCUCAGAAUGUUUUGAGUCUUUCAUACGCUUGGCCUGCCUGAGGAACUGGUCUGCUUUCCUCAGCUUCUCCAUGGCUCUGGCUAGCAGCUCCUCCGGCGACCUGUCCUCCAGGCCAUCGCCCCCCGCUAGGGCCGAGUUCUGCCCAACCUCGGUGCUCCCUUUAGGGACAACGCUCCCCAGGAGCUCCCCUGUAUUUUCCAGCUCCAUGGCCAGUUCAUUUUCAAGGUCUGUUAAGUCUUGAGGACCCACGGUGGCCUUUGUCCCGGCCACGUCUGUGAUUCGCUGUUUCACGUUUUCACCCAAUGAGGCCUCAGAGAGGAGAUCCCCCAAAGAGGUGGACAUGAGCUUGGCUAAGGGUUUGAAGGGGAUGGGGGGACAAUGGGAGGCCUGACUGACCCUCACCUGGAGGAAGGUGGAGUGUAGGCCAGAGGGAUUGUCCUGGGGGGUCUGGGUCGUAGAAGGGGAGUCCUCCACAGUGCUGAGUCCCAAGCUGUCGGGGGUCUCCGUGUCUCCGUCUUGACUCUCGUCCAUCAGCGCGUCCAGGCCAGCUUGGCUGCCCAUUAGGGCAGCGGUGGAGGCCGCCAAAGUGUCCCUGCUCUCUGACCAUUCUUCGUCGACAUCGAUGUCCGAGUGUUGGCCACUGUCGACUGACUUUUCCUCCUCACGCUCACUCUUCUUUUCCGGGGAGAGGUGGCAGGACACGGGGCUGGAGCAGGAGCUGUCUGGCUCAGGGUCACUCAGAGAGAGAACUACGACUGGGAACUCAGACUUAGUCUCAACGACCACAGGAACUUUCAGGGCCUCUGUUUCUUCAGUCGGACUGGUUGUGGUCAGCGCGGCUGGUGUUGGUGAAGUGAUAGAGUUGAGUUUCUCUCCUGGUGUGGUGGUGAUGUUCUUGGUUUUGUCUGUCGCUUGGUUCUUAGGUUCGCUUACGUGGACGUCUUGAGCCACCACCACUGCUUUGGGAGGAGGGAGGACGACGGGCUUCUUCUUUGUGGGAGGUCCGGGAGGGCCAGGGCUCUUUUUGAUUGGCUCCGGUGUCUGAACUGACGGCGUUACUGUGAGUUGGGAAGACUUCAUUGUCUGAGGUUCUUCAUUGGGUGAUAUAUCCACUCCACCACUAGGGGCAGACUCUUGUUCUUGAGCCAUGGGCUCGGCAACUUUCUGCGUCUCUUCUUCUAUGGUGGUGGUGGCGACCUCUGGGUGGUCAGUCACAGAGGGUUCAACUUUGACCUCUAGGGGGGUCAUGGGUGUUGUAAGCUGCGAGGAAGAAGACUCCUCCUCAUCCUCAGCCCCCUCAGGGAUACUGCUUUGUUGAACGUCAGAUGCAAUCGUUUCAGAACCCUCUUCCUCCUUCUCCUCUACCUCAUCCUCUUCACCUUUCUCCCUCCUCCCACUAGCCUCCUCUGUACCCUCCUGCACGGCUGUCUGAGUGGGCUUUUUGUCUUUGGAUGGUGGGGUGGGCGGCCUGUGUUCCUGGCUGGUUUGGGAGUCUCAGUGGUGUCUGUGGUGAUGUGGUGUGUCCCGUUGGGGAUGCUGGCGUCCACCGCGUCCAGGUCAUGCCGGAGAAUGCCGUCUG